UGGGGAAUAUUGGACAAUGGGGGAAACCCUGAUCCAGCCAUGCCGCGUGCGUGAAGAAGGCCUUAGGGUUGUAAAGCGCUUUCGGCGGGGAAGAUGAUGACGGUACCCGCAGAAGAAGCCCCGGCUAACUCCGUGCCAGCAGCCGCGGUAAUACGGAGGGGGCUAGCGUUGUUCGGAAUUACUGGGCGUAAAGGGCGCGUAGGCGGGCGAUCAAGUCAGAGGUGAAAGGCCUGGGCUCAACCUGGGAAUUGCCUUUGAAACUGAUUGUCUAGAGUCCGGAAGAGGAUGGCGGAAUUCCCAGUGUAGAGGUGAAAUUCGUAGAUAUUGGGAAGAACACCAGUGGCGAAGGCGGCCAUCUGGUCCGGUACUGACGCUGAGGCGCGAAAGCGUGGGGAGCAAACGGGAUUAGAUACCCACGUAGUCCCUGAGCGGGCUGGCAAGGCGC
rnacentral:rRNA from 1 species